CAAUAGCGUAUAUUAAAGUUGUUGCAGUUAAAAAGCUCGUAGUUGGAUUUCUGGUAGGAGCGACCGUGCCGAACUUGAUUGUUCGAGUAUUGUGUUGUCUUCAGCCAUCCUCGUGGAGAACUUUUCUAACAUUAACUUGUUGGGAUUGGGACCCGCGUCGUUUACUGUGAAAAAAUUAGAGUGUUUAAAGCAGGCAUUAGCUUGAAUACACUAGCAUGGAAUAAUAAGAUAGGACUUUGGUACUAUUUUGUUGGUUUGCAUACCAAAUUAAUGAUCAACAGGAACAGUUUGAGGAUAUUCGUAUGAACAUGUCAGAGGUGAAAUUCUUGGAUUUUGAUCAGACGAACUACUGCGAAAGCAUUUAUCAAGGAUGUUUUCAUUAA
rnacentral:rRNA from 1 species